AGGCGCGGUAGGCGCCUCUCUCCUCCCUCCCAGCAGGGGGUGCUGUUUUUUUGCUCGGUUUUCCCAGGGUGUGUGUAACUUCCUAACCGUGAGUGUUUGUUUUAUUAAAAAGCAUUGUGUGACCUGAGGAACAGUCCUUGUUGCUUGUGUCUCCUCUCAGCCUGCUCUUUGUGUAGGUCCUGUGGCAGUUCUCACACUGUGCAGUUGCACUCUGGGGGUGCAUAUUAACACACUAACUCGGUCACUUUAACGCAUGGGUGACCAGACGGUCACUUCCACUGUCCUGAUGUCACCCUCACAGGCCUGUCAAGCUGUGCUGGGCCUCAGACUCACCCAGGCUUUCUAGCCUCCUGUUUAACUGCCUUUGCCUGGCCUGUGCAUGGGGGCAUCACUGGUGCUACAUAAGGAUUCGUUUGUUUUGAUUGUUAUGAGUCGAGCUGAUCCGUUUUCCCCCUUCUCCACAAAAGACUUCACGUGUUGAACUUUUUUAGGAAGAUAUUGUGAAGUCUUGGUAUGGAAGGGUAUGCUGAGUGUGUUAGUCGGAGGCUUGCUGCUGGCCUUUCGCUGUACUUGAUGAACUGAUGGAUGGUUUGUGUCUGUCUGAAUGGGUGCAGCUCUCCCAGCACUGAGCUCUGCGCUGCUCUUGGUGUCUGAGACUGUAGAAGGUAGCAGCCAAAUGCUGCCUGCGCUCAGCUAGCUGUCGCUCGCCGGGUUCGCUGAGAGUUGUUCCUCAGUCCGGAGCCUCUUAAGAGUGGAAUUGUUCAAAUUAUUAGUUGUUAUGGCCCUCUGCUUCCAGAAGGAAUUUUUCGCAACUUCCUGUUUGCGUUGCCCUUUAAAAGAAAGAAAGAAAAAAACAGAAUUUUGUCACUUUGGACAUCCUUGGACAGGGAUCCUGAUCCUGCACCUGCGGUUAUUAACCUUGUUUACUGUUGUGUUUUGGGGGAUGUUUGAAAGGGCUUCCUAUUGCACUAAGAUGCUGGGGUAGCCUUGAGCAUCCAGAGGCCUCCUGGAACCAUUUACUCAUCUUUUAGAGAAGAUGAUCACAGAAGGCCUUGAUCACUUGUUCCCCAGAGACUGGCUGUGUGACCUGGGGCCUUUUGCUUGUGUCGGGGGAAUCAUCCAGUCUGGACUAUAUGAGAAACUGUAACCUCUUCAUUUGUUACCUCUGUCACUCUGUGCAAUAAACAGAUUUACCUCA